CGAAAAUUAAAAACAUUUUCAAGGUGUUUUUCUCGAUAUCCCGUAAACUUCGUUCUUAAAAUUCUAAAAUCUUUCUUACCUGCCACAAAUGUUCGUGUUCUAAAAUUGAUUCUUGAAGACAGAUGUUUACCGUUAAACAUAAUAAUUCUUACUUCCUUCAUAAUAAAAAAAAAAAUAGCUGAUACUGUGGAUGGGAGCGACCACAGUUGUAGGCGAGAAGUAUGGAAUGUAGGAUACAUAAAGUUAUUUCAUUUAUAUCUGUAAGCAACGAUAAACCAUUGCUUGACGAAAAACGAUUCCGAGCGCAAUUCGGUAAUACAUAAUUUGAAUUGCCGUAAUUUUGUUUGUGAUUUUUGUUUAAAUUUGAUUGCAAAACGCUUAUUGAAAAAACAAUUAUUUCAUAUUCAAAUUUAUGUUCAAAAAGUGGGGGUUCGUAUUUGAAAAUCAAAAUUAUGUACUUAUUUAAGGUAUUUUGAGAACAAAAUAAUAGUUAAACAAUAAAAAACGAUUAAAAAAAAAAAAAAAACGCUUAAACGAUUCCAUAAUGAUUAGAAAAAACAGAAAUCAAAUUCACUUAAAUCCUCUGAGAUACUUGCUGGUUAACGAUAAAAAAAUCAACUUGUAUUAAAUAAAAACAAAUGUAUAUCUGUUUGUGCUGUAUGCGUUAAUAACAAAUAUUUUUUUUUUCAUCCGUGUUAUCUAGAUAACUCAAGAAUCGACAAAACUAAUUAGAUUUUUAUGCUAAAUAUAUCUAAUAACCGAAUUUUAAAGAAUCGUAUUUAAUUUAAUAAGGGGUGAAUUCCAACUGCUGAACUUCUAUGGAUAACGUGGAACAAUUUCCCAAAGUUUCAUAGCGAUCGGAUGAAUGGUGUAGUAACGCAUAAAGGACAAACUGACAUACAUUUUUUUUUAUACAUAUAUUAUAGAAUGAACGAUUUCAAUGAUAUAUUAUAUUAUUAUAACUAUAAAUCAUUAUUGUGUUAUUAUUUAUUAUUGUAAUAUAAAUUAUCAUGAUAAUUUAAGAAAAUUGUUAAUUAUCUUUUUGUUCUUUUAUUACUCCAGAAUUUAAUCGUAAGUUAUUUUUUUUUAUCAAUCUUUAUAGUUGUAAUUAGAGAGCUUGGCCAACUCAUGAGAGUGGCCAACCCUAUAAUUUUUUGCAAUAUUAUGCCGGUCAUCUCUAAGAGAUGAUAGCAAUAAGUUGGCUGCUAGUGAUGGGAAAAAUUCGGUUUUGUUGAAGUUUGAAAAUCCGGAUUUUUGGAUUUCCGAAUCAUAAUUCGGUGUAUUAUUUAAAUUCCGGAUUUCCGAUUUUGUUCUAAAUAUGGAUUUUGGAUUUUUAAACAUUGAAUUAGCAUUAUUUUCUGUGUAUACUUAUUAUAAAGUUUUCAUUACUACAUUUAAAUUUUGUAUAAAAAAAAUAUUAUUUUUUUAAUUAGAAUAGAGAAAUCUACAAUGUUAAACCCAAAACUCGUAAAUCUAAAAUUCGGAUUUUCGGAUAAUACAGAUUUAUGUCACAUGUGACUACUCUUCUGCUAUUUAAACUGCGUAGAUGUCAUUAAUUCACAUAAUUUAAUGUUCAUAUAACGAUUUUUAGGUAAUUUUAUUAGUCCAUUAAUCAAUAUAACAAUUAUCUUAAAUUUUCAAGUGUUUCUGAUCUGCUCGAAAAUUGUAUCUACAAUUGAUCAUAUGAAAAUAAUACUUUUUGAAAAAUUCGUAGAACUGAACUUCAUGCAUUAUGCCUAUUUCAAUUCUAUGGUUUUGUUUUUCCUUAAGAUUAUGUUAUCUAUCUAUCUAUAUGAAUAAAAGCGAUAAUGGAAAUCUGUGUAACGCGUUGGCUUCGAAACUACUUAUUCAAUCGUCAUGGAGUUUUUUUUUAAAUUAUUGAAGACCUCACAGAGCAGGUAUUAGACGUACAUUUUGUAAAUAAAUCUUGAAGGAGGUGAUAGGGUUUCAGGGAUUUUCGGCACGUUAGUUAAAUUAUUUUUGUUGAUUUAUAAAUUACCACAGUAACUCGAAUGAAAAAUAUUAAAAAAAAAAUAAUAAUAAUAAACGAAAAUAAAAAUGCCAUAAUAACUAUAAAAACUUAAAAUAAACAGUCAAUUUGAUUAUCUGUCGGUCUAUUAUUGGCCUGAAAUAAGAUUCCUUGGUGACACGAUUGAAAAAAAUGUAUAAUACACUAAAAAAGUUUUAUUCUGAUGACUACACACUUUCCACCUAUUUAUUUUCGUUCAAAAAUAUCGAUACGGAUAAAACAAAACGGAAAUAAAGAUAAGAAGAAUAAAACAUUAGCACGGACAACGCCGGACGUGGAACAUCUAGUAAAACUAUUAUAUCCGUAUUGAAAUUAAAGGUUUAUCGAUGCACUGUAUUAAAUCAUAAAAAUCCGAAUAACAUCCAAAUCAUAGUACUCAUAUAUAUUUAUAUAUAUUUGCCCACUUUCUGCCAGCAAUGUCUGCGCACGUAUAUGGUUUAUGCACUUUCUGGCGUUGAAAGUGCUCUCGCUAAACGUCAUUGCACGCUGUUUGCUGGCAACUUUAUGUUACGGGAACCGUCUCCUUCCUUUGAUAAUUUAUAAUGUACUAGAAAUUGUAGGCAUGUUGUUAAUAAUGUGAUUUUAGGCGAGUUGUACCUCAGAUAAAUUCAGCCAAACGAUAAUCACAUUGCGUUUCAAAUCUGCAUAAACCGGUCGUCAAAGUAUAUAUUGCUACGUUUUAUGUAAUAUAUACUAUUAAUUUGUUGAACUAUUUAAAACAAAAUUAUAUUAAUAACUACUAUUAAUAUUGCUGUUUUUCUAUAUUUUUUACUCUAAAAGAACAGGAAAGAGAACAACGUAAGUUAUACAUAAAAAAUUUUAAAUAGUAUUCUAGUCGUUAUUGGAAAGCCUUUAUAAUAGGUUAGUGGCCUAUUCGAUACCGCAUUACGAUUUUAAUCAUUGCUGAUCAGACGAAAUAUUGUUACCCAUCCUAAAUAUAAUAAAAACAAUAUUUCUCAGAAAUUGUCAUGAUUCAGAUCCUCUCGUUAAGCAUUUUCCAGUUUUUUGAUUUAGAUUCGUCCUAUGUUCUUGUAACAAUACCACAAUAUCCGUAUUGAAUUCAACCAUUUAUCGAUGAAUGGUACUGAAUUAUAUCGUUAUCAUAAUAAAUUCCAAAUCGGAAGACGAUUGACAAUGAUAUAAACUAUUUUUAUUACUGUAUUCAAUUUUGUGUCUAUAAAUCACUCAAAUGUAUGAAUAAUAUUAUUUUAAUAUUGGGUAUUUAAUUUGUGAAAUGUCGCGGAACGGCUCUGUCUUGGUCUUGGCCCUUAUCGGCGAAGGAUAAUAAACUAACCGUAGGUCACCUAUAGUGUAAAACGAUCUACACUCAAAUACAAUUAGUUUAGCACCGACAACAACAAAGCUCACGUUGGAUAUUGUAUAAUAUAGAUGAUCCACCUGAAACAAAUAAUAUUCAGAUAUAACAGAAUAAUUAAUUUUUUAUGUAAUAUAUAUAUUAUAAAUAGAGUUGAAUUAUAUAAUAAAAAAUUAUAAUGAUCCCUAAUGUAAAUAUUUGUUUUUUUUCUUUUAUUACUUUUGCACCAGAAGCGCCUGAGCGACGAGGUAUGUUUUUUUAUUAUAUCAUAUAGUCAAUAUUAGAAAGCCCAUAUAAUAAGUUAGUGGUCAAUUUGAUAACGUCUAGAUAUAAAAUUGUCAGUGUACAACUAGAUUGAUAAUGAUGUGGAAAUUCUCAACAUUUGAACCUUAUUUAAAUAAUUGAGGCAAAACGCUUUCCAUUGUUUAAUGCCAAAUAUUUUAGUUAUAAAAACAUAAUAAAUAUAUCAAAAUAAUUAUAAUUUUCAUAUUGUACAUUUCAGUUUAUAUUGAUUAAUGUUAUACAAGCAAUAAAUUAUAAAUGCCUUAUAUCGCUUAAAAUAAUUCUAGUCUAUACUUGACUCUACACAAUAAUAAUUCUGUAUUUCUGUAUUACAUAUCAAUGAAGAACAAACAAAUGUAAACCAGCACCUUCUUAUACAUUUUCAGGAAAAAUAAUAUGUAGUUUAUGUUACAUUUAAUUUCAGAUAAAGAAAAUUGAAAAUGUUUUAACUAUAAAUAUAAUAUAAUUAUAUUUUUUGAGUUCUGUUAAUUUAACUAAUCAUAUACUAACUAAUUAUAUGAAUAACUUGUAUUAAAAUUAAGUUAAAUCAGCAUAGUAAGUAAUUUAUUUACAUUUAACUGUACUCUAACCACGUUCGUUCGAAAAAUUGAAAAAUUCGUAAAAAAAUAUAAAAAAAGAUUUACGAUUAGCGAAACUCUAUUUGCGAUUAAUUGCAAUUAAUUUACAAUUAUUUGGUUGUAUUUUGAAGUGGAUCGGACAAAGUGGGUUAUUAGUCAAAGUGGGAUAUAUUUUCAUUUUUCCCCUUUUAUUUUUCGGUUUUUCAAAUUUGAUGAGAAAACUCUUGAGAAAAUCAAAAAAUGACUUUUUAAAAGUACCGCCCUAGAGAAAUUUCUUACAAGAAACAUUGGUACACUUAAAAAUUGGAACAAGAUUACUGGUAAAUAAGUGUCCCACAGAAAAAAAAAAUAAUAUCCUGUAAUGUUCAAAAUCGGGAUCAAUUUUUUGAUCGAUCUACGAUAUCAUGAUCUCGUGAUAAGUGCGUCGCCGCGAAACUAUUAGGUCUAUAGGUAGGCGAAAACCGAUUUCCAAUAAGUUCACCGACAAUAUUAUUUACCCAGCGUGCCCGUUUAUUAUGAUUCCGUGCGCGUCUGUGAUUCCGUAUAUGUUCGUCAUUAUCACCGCACGGUACACCCGCGGAGUUGGCGACACCGGAGUCACGUGCUCACCCUACCACGGAGUAUAGUAAAUAAGAUUCAUUGUAAAGUUAUCUAGACAAAAUUCUCGGCCAAUCACACUUACGUUAAUAGUUCCCCACGUCUCCUAUCCGACUAACUCGCGACGACGCAAGACUCAACCGGAGCGUUGACUUGGUCCAACAACGUACGACACUCAACAACGGACAAUCAAUUUUUCUUUAUGGUGUUCCUGAUUCAAAUCACCAUGUCCGAGUAGUCGCCCCAAGUCCCCCACGAUGAACCUUUCCGGUUCGAAAGGCGUGUGAGUAUUAAAAUUUAUUAUUAGCCUUGGGCCGGCAAUUUUAUUUAGUUAAUUUAAUUAAUUUAGGUUAUUCAGUUUAUAUAUUUUAUUUCAUGUUUCCUGCGCGUACGUUUCAUUUUAUAUAUUUUUAUUUCGCAAUUAAUACGUAUUCUGAUAUUAUAAAAUUAUGUACAUUUAUUUUGGUAUGUAUACCUAGGUGGAUACAACUUAGUUUUUCCCCAUUUCUCUUUGGUUGAAGUUUUAUGCCUCUGGCUUUCUUCAAUAAUAACUUACUUCUUUAUCUCUUUCAUUUACAUUAAUUUAAUAAAAACGAUAUUAAUUACCUCAUAAACAAUCUUGGUUAUUCUUUAUUUCGUUAUAUUAUGAAUGCAUACCUAUGUAACCCCUUUUCAGGUUUUACGUCUUCCAGCAUGGUUCUAACUCCCGAAUUUACAAUUAUAAAUAAAAUAUUCUUAUUAUUACUUAGUUUAAUUAUUUUGCUUAAUAUUAUUUGAAUGAAAAUCCUACGACUCCGACCUCGGUCUCGGUCAUAGGUCGGUUAUUCACUCACAAUAAUCGAAUGAUGCUCAACUCCCUCACGACGGUUGCCACCCCAACAUCGUUUGGUAAGUGAAUUUUCUGUGAGACCCACCGAGAUCUUAGGAUAGGUAGAGACAGGGAGGACGAGACGUCACAAUCCCUGUAAAACCAUCGCUCCACUUAUCAUCUAAAAUACAAUUAAAAUAUCUUGUUGCGUUCGGAUUUGCACAAAUAGAGGGGAAAUUAAUUUUGCUGUUACCAAAGAUAGAGAGUUAUUAAAUUUAAAGAAGGUAAUUUUAGAAAUAGAUCUAAAUCCCUCCUUAAGAGUUUGUUCAAGCCAUUUUUAGACAUAAGGAUUAAGGUUGUUAUAAAAUGAGUAUCGUAUACAUUCGAAUGGGGUCAGACCAUCAUACACAUAUUAGGCAGCUGCCCGCAUUAAACAGUAGCCACAUUAAGCAGAAUCCACUGAAUUCCUUUUAUUACUUUUUAUAGGCAAGCUAGAAAACGAUGGGUUAGGAAGUAAGUUUAUUUUUAUUAAUAAUCAAUAAUGUCCUCAAAAGAAAGUUGAUUUAUGAAGAUAUAUAGUUGAUACGCCGUUAUUACCGUACAAGGUUAGCUAUAGUACAAGAUUAUAUGAUAAAUAUGAGGUAGCCAUUUCCCUAUUAUAUUUGCUCUCUAGUUGUCAUUAGUGGACAAGCUUUGAAUGUAUAAUAUACAUAAAAUAACGGAAAAUUAGGUAUAAUGAUUAAUGAUUUCCCUAUUUAAGUCUAUUGAAUAGAGUCAGAUUUACACAUUUAAUAGGUUUCGGUUUUCUGAAUAUAAUGAUAUAAAUUAAAUUUAAACUAUGCUAUUCACGUGCUUGAAACAAUUUUAUUUUAAAUUAAUUGUUUUCUGUAACAUACAUAAUCAUAUAAGAGAUACAAAUAUUGCUUGUUUCUUUUCUUUUUUUAACAAAUAAUAUUUCACUUAUGAAUAUAAAAUUUUAUUCGGAAAGAUAUUAUAUCGUAAAACAUUUUUUUCGUUUAUAAACUUUAUUAAUAUACAUGAUAUUUUUUUUUUAUUUUUCGUGUAAUAUAGAUUUAGUUUACAGAGGUAUCGUUUGUAUUUUAUUAAAUAUAUUUUUAAUAAUAAAUAAAAUAAAAUAGUUUAUUAUUUAAUAAGUGCAUUUUUUAACAUUGCAGAACAUAUUUUAUAGAAAACACCGUGUAAUGAAUUGUAGAUGAGUGUAAAUAAUAAUAAUUAACCGGGCCAUAAUUUGUGAUAAUUUUCGAUAACAACAUAACUGUUAGGCUCGAGUUAUUUCAAAUGUCGUGCCAAAUUUACGUUUAUUUAAAAAAAAGUAAUUUGAUUAAUUCUAAUAACGCAUGUUUUAAAUUUUCAAGUUUUUCUGAUCUGCCAAAUAUUAUAUCCAUAACUGACCAUAUGAAAGUAAUAUUUUUUGGAAAAUUCUUAGAACUGAACUUUAAAAAUAAAAUCAAACCUAAUAGUUUCCGCUUGCACCAUUCAAUAAUUCACCAAAUUCAAAGAACUAUCGACAAAAUUAUUCGAAAAUUAAAAACAUUUUCAAGGUGUUUUUCUCGAUAUCCCGUAAACUUCGUUCUUAAAAUUCUAAAAUCUUUCUUACCUGCCACAAAUGUUCGUGUUCUAAAAUUGAUUCUUGAAGACAGAUGUUUACCGUUAAACAUAAUAAUUCUUACUUCCUUCAUAAUAAAAAAAAAAAUAGCUGAUACUGUGGAUGGGAGCGACCACAGUUGUAGGCGAGAAGUAUGGAAUGUAGGAUACAUAAAGUUAUUUCAUUUAUAUCUGUAAGCAACGAUAAACCAUUGCUUGACGAAAAACGAUUCCGAGCGCAAUUCGGUAAUACAUAAUUUGAAUUGCCGUAAUUUUGUUUGUGAUUUUUGUUUAAAUUUGAUUGCAAAACGCUUAUUGAAAAAACAAUUAUUUCAUAUUCAAAUUUAUGUUCAAAAAGUGGGGGUUCGUAUUUGAAAAUCAAAAUUAUGUACUUAUUUAAGGUAUUUUGAGAACAAAAUAAUAGUUAAACAAUAAAAAACGAUUAAAAAAAAAAAAAAAACGCUUAAACGAUUCCAUAAUGAUUAGAAAAAACAGAAAUCAAAUUCACUUAAAUCCUCUGAGAUACUUGCUGGUUAACGAUAAAAAAAUCAACUUGUAUUAAAUAAAAACAAAUGUAUAUCUGUUUGUGCUGUAUGCGUUAAUAACAAAUAUUUUUUUUUUCAUCCGUGUUAUCUAGAUAACUCAAGAAUCGACAAAACUAAUUAGAUUUUUAUGCUAAAUAUAUCUAAUAACCGAAUUUUAAAGAAUCGUAUUUAAUUUAAUAAGGGGUGAAUUCCAACUGCUGAACUUCUAUGGAUAACGUGGAACAAUUUCCCAAAGUUUCAUAGCGAUCGGAUGAAUGGUGUAGUAACGCAUAAAGGACAAACUGACAUACAUUUUUUUUUAUACAUAUAUUAUAGAAUGAACGAUUUCAAUGAUAUAUUAUAUUAUUAUAACUAUAAAUCAUUANUUUUUUGCAAUAUUAUGCCGGUCAUCUCUAAGAGAUGAUAGCAAUAAGUUGGCUGCUAGUGAUGGGAAAAAUUCGGUUUUGUUGAAGUUUGAAAAUCCGGAUUUUUGGAUUUCCGAAUCAUAAUUCGGUGUAUUAUUUAAAUUCCGGAUUUCCGAUUUUGUUCUAAAUAUGGAUUUUGGAUUUUUAAACAUUGAAUUAGCAUUAUUUUCUGUGUAUACUUAUUAUAAAGUUUUCAUUACUACAUUUAAAUUUUGUAUAAAAAAAAUAUUAUUUUUUUAAUUAGAAUAGAGAAAUCUACAAUGUUAAACCCAAAACUCGUAAAUCUAAAAUUCGGAUUUUCGGAUAAUACAGAUUUAUGUCACAUGUGACUACUCUUCUGCUAUUUAAACUGCGUAGAUGUCAUUAAUUCACAUAAUUUAAUGUUCAUAUAACGAUUUUUAGGUAAUUUUAUUAGUCCAUUAAUCAAUAUAACAAUUAUCUUAAAUUUUCAAGUGUUUCUGAUCUGCUCGAAAAUUGUAUCUACAAUUGAUCAUAUGAAAAUAAUACUUUUUGAAAAAUUCUUAGAACUGAACUUCAUGCAUUAUGCCUAUUUCAAUUCUAUGGUUUUGUUUUUCCUUAAGAUUAUGUUAUCUAUCUAUCUAUAUGAAUAAAAGCGAUAAUGGAAAUCUGUGUAACGCGUUGGCUUCGAAACUACUUAUUCAAUCGUCAUGGAGUUUUUUUUUAAAUUAUUGAAGACCUCACAGAGCAGGUAUUAGACGUACAUUUUGUAAAUAAAUCUUGAAGGAGGUGAUAGGGUUUCAGGGAUUUUCGGCACGUUAGUUAAAUUAUUUUUGUUGAUUUAUAAAUUACCACAGUAACUCGAAUGAAAAAUAUUAAAAAAAAAAUAAUAAUAAUAAACGAAAAUAAAAAUGCCAUAAUAACUAUAAAAACUUAAAAUAAACAGUCAAUUUGAUUAUCUGUCGGUCUAUUAUUGGCCUGAAAUAAGAUUCCUUGGUGACACGAUUGAAAAAAAUGUAUAAUACACUAAAAAAGUUUUAUUCUGAUGACUACACACUUUCCACCUAUUUAUUUUCGUUCAAAAAUAUCGAUACGGAUAAAACAAAACGGAAAUAAAGAUAAGAAGAAUAAAAAAUUAGCACGGACAACGCCGGACGUGGAACAUCUAGUAAAACUAUUAUGUAAAUCUAUAUAAAUUUAGGAAUUUGUACCACAGGUAAUUUUAGCCAAACAAUUAUGACAUUAUGUUCUAUGCAUAAUUAAAGCAAGGUCGUUAAAGCAAACAUUGCUACGUGUUAUGUAAUAUAUACUAUAAAUUCUAUUGAAUUAUUUAUUACAAAAUUAUAAAAAUACCUAUUAUUAAUAUUGCUGUUUUCUUUAUAUUUUUUUGUAAUAGAACAGCAAAGGCAACAACGUAAGUUAUGUAUAUUAAGAAUUUACAACAUUAUUAUAGUUGUUAUUAAAAAGCCAAUAAAAUAGGGUGAUAAAAUAUUUGCUCUUAAUUAUUGCUGAUCAGACAAAAUAUUAUUACACGCAAACAUAAUAAAAACAAUAGUUCUCAGCAAUUGUUGGGAUUCAGAUCCACCCACUAAUAUUUAGUUAAACCACAUUCUGAGUAAGAAAUGAAAUUGAUUUCCUGGGCCGUUUCUUGUGAUUUCAUUAGUGAAACUUUAGACCUACUUCAUAACUCGAUCAAUCAAGAUAGCAUAGACUUCUGUGCAAUUUUAGGCAGAGGUAAAUUCGUAAAUGCUUGCACUGAUUCUCGGUCAGGAAUUAAAAACAAUCGGUGCUUAUGUAGGGUGUUUAUGAAAAAGUGUUCAUUUUUUCAGCUACACGAAUGAUAUUAAGAUUAUAUUACUGAUUGAUGUUUAAUGUAAAGGCGAAAACGGAAAGAUGCCAUAAUGUAUUAAUCGAUAAACCUUAUUGAAAAUAACCCUCAACUUAUUGGCAUUGAUGAGAAUGACAAAAACGAUAUAAAUAUAUAAUGAUAUAGCAGCUGACUUUAUAUAAGCCCGCUAAUAUAGAAUUAUUUUAAUAUCGAAAAAUAAAGCUCACGAUGUUUAUAGUAUAAUAUACCAUGUGAUACAUUUAUGCGGAUUCAUUCGUGAUUUCGGAGCGUAAUGACUUUUUUUACGAAAUAGUUUUCUAGAAAUUAGAGGGAUAAGCUAAUUUUAUAAAAGUCCAAGAUAACAAAUUCCAUUAAAGUUUAUACUUUCCGAAUAAACGGGUGCAAUCAAUUCAUUCAUAGGUCAACGACAUCAAAAUAAAAUUCAGAUAUUUAUUACAAAUUAAUGGACGUUAUCUGCAUUAUAUGCUAUGAUUUUAUUAGUUUAAUACAAAAUUAUAAUGAUCCAUAUUUUUGAUAUUUUUUUCUUUUUACUAUAGCACUGCCACCUCAAAGAACACAACGUAAGUUAUAUGUUAAAUAUUUCAUUUGGUAUUGCGGUUACCAAACUAUGGUAGACGCCAAUCUUGGGAGGCACGAGUAUUUAGAAUAGAAAGAGCAAGAUAAAUAUUAAGAUUUUUGUUAAAUAACUUUCAGAUUAUUAUUUCUAGAUCAAAUCGCUUAUAACGUUUAUUAAUAGAAGACACAUCUUAAUCGCGUCACACGCAUAAUAUCAGACCGUAAUUAACAAUAUAAUACAUAGUACAACCUAAACAAAAAAAAUUCCAUUAAAGUUUAUACUUUCCGAGAAAACGGGUGCAAUCAAUUCAUUACAUGACCUAUGUAAUCAUAAUAAAAUUCAGAUAUUUAUUACAAAUGAAUGGACGUUAUCUGCAUUAUAUGCUAUGAUUUGAUUAGAUUAAUACAAAAUUAUAAUGAUCCAUAUUUUUGAUAUUUUUUUCUUUUUACUAUAGCACUGCCACCUCAAAGAACACAACGUAAGUUAUAUGUUAAAUAUUUCAUUUGGUAUUGCGGUUACCAAACUAUGGUAGACGCCAAUCUUGNUCCAUCAGCCGAUGAGAUAUACCAAUUUUAAGAUUGUGUUUUUGUCCAGAAGUGAAGCAACUAUCGAAAUGCAGUACGACGCGCAGCGUGUUAAUAUUGCACCAGUACUAUACUCAGACAAAAAUUUCAAAAUUAAUAUCUUGUUAACGGAUUGACGAGCAUCAAUUAUUCCAAUACAACAAUUUAAAUUUUCUAAAACUCCCAUCAAAAUGUGGAAUUUAUUUCACAUAGGUUACAGUUUAAAUAUCAAACGUUGAUAGCGAAUUUACACCUAAAAAUAUGAGUGACAAAAAACUAUAUAAAUAGAUAGUUGAUUUGCAGCUAACUUUUUAAAAGUCCAAGAAAACAAAUUCCAUUAAAGAUUAUACUUUCCGAGUAAACGGGUGCAAUCAAUUCAUUCCAUAGGUCGACGACAUCAAAAUAAAAAUCAGAUAUUUAUUACAAAUGAAUGGACGUUAUCUGCAUUAUAUGCUAUGAUUUUAUUAGUUUAAUACAAAAUUAUAAUGAUCCAUAUUUUUGAUAUUUUUUUCUUUUUACUAUAGCACUGCCACCUCAAAGAACACAACGUAAGUUAUAUGUUAAAUAUUUCAUUUGGUAUUGCGGUUACCAAACUAUGGUAGACGCCAAUCUUGGGAGGCACGAGCCUUUAGAUUAGAAAGAGCGAGAUAAAUAUUGAGAUUUUUGUUAAAUAUCUUUCAGAUUAUUAUUUCUAGAUCAAAUCGCUUUAAACGUUUAUCAAUAGAAGACACAUCUUUAUCGCGUCACCCGCAUAAUAUCAGACCGUAAUUACCAAUAAAAUACACGGUACAACAUAAACAUUGGCGCAAAUUUUGUUUGAAUUUCGGUGGGCUCAAAGUUAAAUUAAUAUAAAUAGAUUCAUGGGAGGAUUCGCAAUGUAUACAUUCCUACAAAGAAAAUCAUCACAUUGAAAUUAUUUAUAAUUUGUAAACAACCGUAGUUAAAAUUACAACGUAAUUUUAUAGGUUAAACGUAUGUAAAUAAAAAAUAAUUCAGAAAAUAUUAUGCAUUAUGUUAUGUAUGCUGUUCAAUGUUUAGACGAAAGUCGAAAAGAGCAUUACGGUAUUAUUGUGGAACCUUGAAUUUUUUGAAAACAAAUAAUUCUUUACCAAUAAAAAGAUGAUAAUUUUUUUAUCAACCCCCUCCCCCGGAAUUCUUUAUUUGUGUAUGCGCUUUGCAGAUGAUAAACUUUUAAUUCAAAUCCGGUCGUAUAAUAUACGUAUUAUACUACUAUAGUCGACGCAUUCAUUCAUUUUUUUUAUUUUAUAUUUCUAUGCAAAGAUUUGUAUUUAUAUAUUUAUUAGAAAUUCUUUAAUUUAAUAGGUUAGUGACUAUUUCGAUUCCGUAUUAUAUUUUCAAUUAUCCUGAUAUGGCAACAAAUUGUAACUCAUGCUAAUCCUAAUAAAAAUAUCCCACGGAAAUUUUCUAGGUUCAGUUUUACGUGUAUUAAACCUGCCUCAGUUGAGCGAAAAAUCUGUUAGUUUUACAAAUAUGUUUAUUUUUUUUUAUCUGCGCGUAACUUUUCUACCCGAAAACUUGCAUAGAUUCCUACGUAUUGCACAUUUCUAAAAAGGAAUUGGAUGUGUGGAUGUAAUUUUAAAAAGUAAUUUUUCAAUUUUUCCGUAUAAUUUUUCUAGUAAAUGUUACAAAACGUUAUGAAACAUUAGGAAACCGGUAAAAACAUAGGACAACUGGGAAUAUCGAUACAACAUCAAUGAAAUAAUAUAAAGCCUAUUUAUAAUUUUACUAUGGCAUAUAUAUUGUUGACAAAGUAUCAUUAUCAACUAAACUCCGCUCAAAACCUUUUUUUCGUAAACGAUGUUUUAUCAUUGCUUACAAAUAUACAUUAAUUUAUAUUAAGUACCAAUAACAGUGACUGCACUCGUCCCCGUUAUCCUAGGACGUCUUUUUUGAUUUAUUUUGUCCUAAAUUUACGUAUUAAUACCACAAUAUCCAUAGUGAGUUAAAAUGUUUACCGAUGCACUAUGUAUUGAAUUAUAUUAAUUUAAUAAAUUUGAUCAAAUCAAAUGUAUACUGAUAAAGAAUAAUGUAAACUAAUAUAUUUCUUAAUUGUGUAAUUUUCCUACAAAUUGCUCAUAAAUUUAUGGAUAUCCAAUUAUGUAUAAACUUAAGAAUACAAUUUACAAAUAAAAAUCAAUGAUAGUACUAUCAUAACACAAUAUUUUGAUAUUUAAAACACAAUGAUGAACGUUAAUGAUGACUAUUAUUAAUAUUUUUUGUUUUUUUUUUUUUUUUUUUUUUUUUAAUCUAGGUCAGCAAGAACCACGUAUGUUACAUCCUAAAUUUUGUAUAUAGUCGUUAUUAGAAAUUCUAUACAAUAAGUUUGUGGCCAAUUCGAUACCGUAUUAUAUUUUCGAUCAUUCCUGAUACGAUAAUAAACUGUAACCUAAACUAAACCUAAUAAAACAAUAUUUCUUCAAAAAUGUUUAUAAUUCAGAUUCACGCAUCAAUAAUGUACUAUUAAUUGAAUAUAAGUUAUAAAAAAAAAUUUAUCAUAACACUGGGCAUUCAAUAAGUUUCUGCGGACUGUCGCGGAACGGCUCUCUUCGUAGUCUUGGCAUUUUCAGUGUUUAAACUGCACCCGCACUGAUAGCUAAAAAUUGACCAUUAGCCAACUACACUCCGUCCAACUUAAGAAUAUACCCGGCGAUGGAUGAAAACACGUUCAUUUUCGCGCAUGGGAUCCCACUUCCAGUUACCGGUACCGCUUCAUCCACUCACCAGCCUAUGAAUCUUACCAACACCAAUACACAUAGUGCACGACAUGCAUAGAGAACAAAAUUUCUAUACAAAUUUGUUUUAACGGCCCUACCGCGUUACACGUAUUUUCUCGCACAAAUGUUCUAUUUUAAUUUAAAUAAACGUUACAGUUAACGUUUUAGGCAAUGUAACUUUUCUAUGCAGCCCGUUAAUUAAAUGAGACAGUAUAUGUAUGCGUGUAUAUUACGAUUUAUUUGGCGAUUGGUGUUAUAGAUAUUAUAACUCGCCCUAUACAAGACGACACCGCGUGGCGUACAAAAUUAUACGCAAAUGGGUUGUAUGAGCUGCGGCUGCAUAAGAACCUGAUACGGGAUGUAUGACUCGUCGCGGGAUGCCUAAAGGAGCAAUAUGAAGAGUGGACCGUAUAAAAAAUUGUUUUAGGGUAGAUGUAAGUACCUACGGUUCCCGUGUACCAGAUGUAGGUACCGCCGGAAAAAGUACUCGUAACGAACAACAAAUCAUAACACAAUGUUUUGACAACGUCUUUAUAUUAGGUACGACGCGCCGUAUCAAUGUCUAACUAGAUUAAAAAUAAUACAAGACAUGCAUAAACAUGUAAACAUAUUUUAGCUUCUUAGUGGAUCGAAGAAUCUUAUGGUCUUACAAAGAUGUUUUUUUUUUUUUAUCUAUGCAAAACUUUUUUACCAGAACAUUCGCUCUGAUUUCUAUAUAUAUAUAUAUAAAUAAAUAUAAAUAUAAUAAAUAAUAUAAUAUAUAUAAAAGGUUAUUUUUCGAUUUUCUCAAAUAUGUUCUUAUACAAUUUGAAAAACCGAAAAUAACAAGGAAAUUAUUUGAAAUAUAAUACAAAAAUAAUACGAUUCUUUUUCCGGUGCACAACUUUUCAACCAGCAAUUUUGCUCCAGCUUUUGUUCAUCAAAAUUAAAAUAUAUUAAUAAUUAAUGAAAAUAAUUAAAUGGACGGUAUACUUAUCAAUAACGUACAUGUAUGAUUUCGUAAGCUGAUCGGCCACCAGUUUAAUCGCCAUAAACAUUUAAACUCGAUAGCACCACCAUAGUUGGUAUCAAAAAAGUGAGCGCUGACGUUCGACGGGCGGAGUUAAAAUAUUGACGAGACCAGUUGUUCUCAGAUUUAUAGUAUUGUUUUUUUUUUUUUUUUUUUUUUUUAAUGCCAGGAUGCAUGGCGUUCCGUAUUCAAUGAAUAAACAUAAUAAUAUAAAAUAAUAAUGUACAUAUUGUAUGAUGUUAUAAUAAAACACGUACAUACAAAUUUCAUAAAUCGCACCAAAUGAUUUUGAUAAUCACCUGCAGCUAUGAGGGGAGAACCUAAAAUGAAACUUGUUCGCACUAUUCGCACCAACAAAUUUUAUCGUUAAAACAUUAAAUGAUAAUACGUUAUAUUAAUUUUCCUAUUUUUUUUUUUUCGUAUAAUAGUUGAAACAAGAAAUUUAUUAGGUAAGUUAAGUUAUAAAUAGUCUAUAAUUCUUAUUCUUUAAGCAAUUGAUAUUACCAUUUUAUAGACUGUAUAAAAUUAAAACGUAUCAAAAACACUGUUAUUGAACUCUAAUCAUAAUUUUAUGAAUUGUGUUUGUUUUAAAUGAUUAUGAUAUUCAUUGUCUGAUUAAUACCAAAAUUAUAAAAACUAAUAAUUUUCCUGUUUUAAUUUUUAUUCUAGCUUCGUUUGACGGUAAGCCAAAUUUGAAAUUUUUAAUUUAAAAUUUUACGUCAGCAAUAUAGAGCGUCUUUUAGCCUUUUAUGUAAGUGUUAUAACUUAUCACUUUUAAUAUUUUUCAAUUGGGUUUUGGAUCAAUGGCACACAUAUAUAGAGAAAAACAAUUUUUUUUUCAUACCUAAAACAAUGAAAAAAAGUAACUUUAUUUAUUUACAUUUUAAAAAUGUCAAAAUAGCCAUCUUGCACCAUGCAUUCAAUUCCAAUGUUUGGAAAGAACAAUAUAGAGGGGAAAUUAUAUUUGUAUCUGUAACUAACGAUAAUCUAUUUCUUAUUAAAUACGAUUCUGAGUGGGUUUAAAUCAGUUGAUGUAAUGCUUCGAAAAAAUAAAUAAUAUGUCAUAUUGUGGUAAAAUAAUUAAAUAAGCAUUAUAUAUUUUCUUUAAUAAUAGUUGUUUAUUAUAUUAUUGAUUUUCCGUUUUUCCUACGUUUUUCCGGUUUUCUCAUGUUUUUUUACGAUUUUUCACAUUGAUUGGGAAAUCUUUUGGAAAUAUCGAAAAACUAUUUCACAAAAUACCUCAACGGUAAGAUUUCCUUUCUGAUAAUGUGCUAUCAGUUUAAAUCGGAGUAAAAAUUCUGGUAGAAGAGUUGUUCACAGGGAAAAAAAAGCCUAAAUAUGUUUCAAUUAAAAAAAAGAUAAAAACACAUCUGUCUAUAUUCAGUAGCAUAUUAUUUUCCAUACACCAAUGAUAUAGGUUGAUUAGAUCCACUUGAAGUUUUAUCGCAUUAUAAAACAUUUAAAUUUUUAUUCAUUUUAGUAUCAUUCGUAAAUAGAAUGCAUUUUGAAUUUUUUUAUGAUAUUUGAAACAUCAUCAAUGGAAAUAGAGGAAAGAAAUGGUGAGAAGAGGUCACCUUUAGGACACCUGAUAAUAUGUGCAUUUGAUCAGAAAUAUGGUUAUCGUAUAUUACUGCUUGGACUUGGUUGGUUAAGAAAGAUUCGAAUCGUGAAAGUAACGGAUCGCUGAAACCGAACAAAAAUAAUUUGGUUGAUAAAAGAUAAUAAUUAACUCUGUCAAACGCUUUUUAAAAGUCCUUAUAGAUUACAUCAACUUAUGUCUGCAUAAUAAUUGAUUUCAAGAUAAAUUGUUUAAAAAUUCCUAGAUUGAUGGUCUUGAUAUUGCAUAUUAAUCAAUGUAUAAUUUAAAAAAUAAAAUUUACAGAGAAAAAUGUGUGAUAUUGUUAUUAUAACACAAUAGUGAACGUUUCUCUGUAAUAUUUUGAUACUAUUUAUACUAUUGAGUUAUAUAAUACAAAACUGUUAUGUUACCUUUUGUUAAUAUUCCUGUUUUUCUUCUUUUUUUUUUUACUCUAGACAAUGAACGGCAAAGACAACCACGUAAGUUGUAUUGGAAAUAUUUAAUAUAGACUUUUUUUAAAAAUAAUAAAGUUAAAUCUCAUAAAUAUAAAAAAAAAAUAGAAUGAAAGAAUGGGUCUGAAGCACGGUGGUCUGAAUUUGGCUGAAAUUUAGCUUGUCCCAAGACAAUUUUAAAAUUAUGAAAUAUAUGAAUUAUUUCUAUAAAUUUACUAUAGAUAAGUGAAUGCUUAACAAACAAACAUUGUACUCAACACAAACCUGAUUAAAUAUUUUUUUAAAUAUUAAUAAAAUAUAUAAAACUGCAUUCGUAAAAAUUGCAUUGACACAUUGCCAUUCGUAUUUUAAAUGGAAUGUGUAUACAUAAUUUAAUUUUUUUUGUUUUUCAAAAUAUAAUAUGAAUUCUACAGAAAAGGGUACUUCACUGUUAUAGCUUUAAAAAUGAUUGUGUGGGAAUCAUUCAAUUUUAUUAUCUAGAAAUUGUAUGUUUUUUCUAUAUUUAUAACCUAUAAAAUCUCAAACAUAUUAUUAAUCGCUUUUAACAGUUUUUCAUCGCAUUCAUAAAUCAUAGCAUAACUUCUGAGUUUUUCAGAUCCAUAAGAUCUCUUUGAAAAAAUCUGUAGAAUUGUAGAAAUUGCAACAAGUUAUAGCUUUAGAAAUUCUUGAAAAUUUAACAGGAGGUUCAUUAAAUCUUACAUUAUCCUAGAAAAAAAAAUUAAGGUCAUGUAAUAUUUUUUUUUAUUAACGAUUUUAGAUACUACUUUCCGAUGAAAAUUGUUCGAGUAAAAAAUUUCGAUGAACAAAUCUAAUUUAUUGAACACACGUGUAUUGCCGAUUUUAGAAGGAUGGUAAAAUCAGAGUUGAGCGGACUGACGAAGUUUCGAAAUAAUAGCUUUUUGAAGUUCAGAUAUUAUACAAAUAUGACAUGAUUAUAUUAAGUAACUCUGUAUUGCCUAUAUACAAGUGUUAUAGUAUAAUGGUCAUGAAUAAAUAUGUUAGAAAUGUUAGAAUCGUGGGUUCAAACCCAAAGUUUGGAAACGAUUUUUUUGUACUUUUUUUUUUACUUUUAACGAAAUAGGAAAAGAACAAAUGCAUUUUGGGUGUAUCUAAAGACCUAGCUAUUGCUCGUUCGGACUAUCUUAAUCGAAAGAUACCCCUCGAUUGUUGUUUACACUUUUUUACCUGAUAUAGGUAUAGGUUAAAAAAAUAUUAUGACCUUUUGUUUUCAAUGUACAACUUUUCUAUUAGCAAUUUCACUCUGAUUUACAACGAGCGCAUUUUUUCUGAAAGUGAAUCUGACUGUGAAAGUUACCUUUAGGUCAUUAUUUGAUUUUUCUAAUCGUUUCCUUAGAAAUGUUAUAAUCCGUGAAAAUACGCAGGAAAAACGGGACAAUCGAUACAAUAUUGAACAAUUAUUAUUAAAGAAAAUAUACAAGUUUAUAUAUAUUGUUGACAAAACAUCACUAUCAACUGAAAUACUCUAAAAAUAGGUUUUUCGUUAACAAUAAAUUAUCGUUGCUUACGGAUAUAUAUAUUAAAUACCUAUAACAGUAACUGCACCAGUGUCCAUUAUCCUAGGAAGUAUUUUUUUCUCAUUCAAUAUUCUAUAGGCUUGCACGUAUUCCAUUAAAUAAACAUCAUUUUCAACACGAGCUCAAUAUAAUCUAUAAUAUAUUCAAUAAAAGUAAUUUCAGUUUAAAUACUAUUUAAAUAAAUUUGUAAACGUAUUAAAUUACACAAUUCACCAAAUAAUGGUAUUGAAUAUUAUAGUAUGAAAUAUCAAAAUAAUAUGUCUAAUGAAUUCACUAAAAUUCUUAACAACACUUUGUUAUAAUGUAAACAUCAAAAAUGUUAAUAUGAUUGAUUGAAUGAACAAUGGCACUAAAAACUUUACAAAAAAUCGCAUUUCUUUUGAAUAUGCUGAUGUAUAUAAACUUAAAUGUAAUUAUAAUAAAUUAUGUAUAGAUAAGACAAAUUGAAAUUUUAAAAUAAAAUGUAGAAACCACGUUUAUGAUAUAAAAUUAAAAAAUCUGCCCCUUAUCGAAAUAUUUUUAAACAUGUUUUAGAAAAUAACCAUAGUAUAAGUUUUGAUAUUAAUACAGACUUAGAAAUAUUAAAUACUCAAAAUAACAUUUACGUUUAUUCAGUUGUAGAAGAAUUACAGAUAUGCAAUGAGAUAAAGCAAAAUAAUUUUAAUAAUAAUUUAAAUGUCCAAACCGAUUUAAAAAAAAAAAUAGUUUAUAUUUCUUAACACUAUGGCUAUUGGCUAAUACUAACUCAUUUUAAAUAACCUCGCCUGCCUAUUAAAAUAAAUUAUUUCUAUUAAAAACGACUUAUUUGUAUAAUUUAAUUCUAUGUAUUCCUUCAUUUUAUUUCUAUAUUCAGUUUCGUUUUUCAUUUAGAUUGUGAUACACCUGAUAAAAGGCACGUAUUCAGGGAGGAGAGGGGUUCAAAAUUAAUAGUAGUGUUAUUUAUUUAUAAAUAUUGAUAAUAUUGAUUGUAUUUGUAAUAAUGUUUAUUGUAUCUAGGCGACCCUUUCAUUCAUUUUAUUUAUUUUAUAUUUUUAUACAUCAAUUUGUAUUUAUAUAUUUAUUAGAAAGCUUAUAAUUUAAUAAGAUAGUAGUUAAUUCAAAGAGAACCGUUUUACAUUUUACAUGGUUAUAUAAUAUAAUAUAGACUAAAAAUAGGAGAUAAGAAUAUCUACUAAUUUAUUUAUACUUUUUAUGAUAGAGUUUAAUAAAUAGGCGACAAACGUAUCGUAAAUCGUGGUUCAUAAAGCAAGUAUAUACUCAAAUCAGAUUUUUAAAAAGUACUAAAGGUUUUAAUCAUAUGUCUUUGCUUUCUCUGUAACUACUUUAUACUGAUGAAUUUUUAUAACUGAAACCUGUUGUAAAAACGUAUAACUAUAUAUAAUUUUGUAGGCUUUUUUUUAGUAUUUUAUAUAAUAUUUUGUGCUGUUUAGAUAAUAUUAUCAUACCUCUAAUAAUGUUAACAUCAGUUAACAGUGGCGUAUAUAAGAAGGGACACAUUGGGUUAUAGACCCUCUUAAUGAGAGUAUUGUGAUCCUUUCGCACAGUGAAAUUUAUCUUAAAUAUUUUUUAUAACUGUAAUAUUAAUUUUUUUUUUUUUUUUUUUUACAUUAGUGACACGUAAUACGUAAUGUCUCAAUUUUAUUACAGCAAUAUUACAAUACUCAAGUUUGAAUACAUAAACUUCAUGAACAUGUAUGAACAUGGUAGUGUAACAUGACAUUUACUAUUUUGCAUUGGAAUUUUGUUUACUAAUUUAUUAUUAAGAGUAAUUAUAUUUUUAUUGAUACUUCUUUUCAAAAUAUUAUAAUUUAAUUAGCAAUAGGCAUGUAUCAUUGUAAUAUUACAUACUUAAUAUUAUGUAUGUAAUAAAUUUAAUAAUAAAAAAU
rnacentral:lncRNA from 1 species